AGACCCGAAACCCGGUGAUCUAGCCAUGGGCAGGUUGAAGGUUGGGUAACACUAACUGGAGGACCGAACCGACUAAUGUUGAAAAAUUAGCGGAUGACCUGUGGCUGGGGGUGAAAGGCCAAUCAAACCGGGAGAUAGCUGGUUCUCCCCGAAAGCUAUUUAGGUAGCGCCUCGUGAAUUCAUCUCCGGGGGUAGAGCACUGUUUCGGCUAGGGGGCCAUCCCGGCUUACCAACCCGAUGCAAACUGCGAAUACCGGAGAAUGUUAUCACGGGAGACACACGGCGGGUGCUAACGUCCGUCGUGAAGAGGGAAACAACCCAGACCGCCAGCUAAGGUCCCAAAGUCAUGGUUAAGUGGGAAACGAUGUGGGAAGGCCCAGACAGCCAGGAUGUUGGCUUAGAAGCAGCCAUCAUUUAAAGAAAGCGUAAUAGCUCACUGGUCGAGUCGGCCUGCGCGGAAGAUGUAACGGGGCUAAACCAUGCACCGAAGCUGCGGCAGCGAACGUAUCACUUAAAGCGAUUCAGCGGGUUACGAUUGACGGAGCGAAGCGAC
rnacentral:rRNA from 1 species